UUGUUGGUAAGGUAAAAGCUUACCAAGGCUUCGAUCAGUAGCUGGUCUGAGAGGACGACCAGCCACACUGGGACUGAGACACGGCCCAGACUCCUACGGGAGGCGGCAGUGGGGAAUUUUGGACAAUGGGGGCAACCCUGAUCCAGCCAUGCCGCGUGAGUGAAGAAGGCCUUCGGGUUGUAAAGCUCUUUCAGCCGGAACGAAACGGUUACGGAUAACACCCGUGACUACUGACGGUACCGGAAGAAGAAGCACCGGCUAACUACGUGCCAGCAGCCGCGGUAAUACGUAGGGUGCGAGCGUUAAUCGGAAUUACUGGGCGUAAAGCGUGCGCAGGUGGUUUUGUAAGUCAGAUGUGAAAGCCCCGGGCUCAACCUGGGAACUGCGUUUGAAACUACAAGACUAGAGUGUGGCAGAGGGGGGUGGAAUUCCGCGUGUAGCAGUGAAAUGCGUAGAGAUGUGGAGGAACACCGAUGGCGAAGGCAGCCCCCUGGGUCAACACUGACGCUCAGGCACGAAAGCAUGGGGAGCAAACAGGAUUAGAUACCCUGGUAGUCCAUGCCCUAAACGAUGUCAACUAGUUGUCGGGCCUUUACGGGCUUGGUAACGUAGCUAACGCGUGAAGUUGACCGCCUGGGGAGUACGAUCGCAAGAUUAAAACUCAAAUGAAUUGACGGGGACCCGCACAAGCGGUGGAUUAUGUGGAUUAAUUCGAUGCAACGCGAAAAACCUUACCUACCCUUGACAUGUAUCGAAGCCCGCAGAAAAGCGGGGGUGCCCGAAAGGGAACGAUAACACAGGUGCUGCAUGGCUGUCGUCAGCUCGUGUCGUGAGAUGUUGGGUUAAGUCCCGCAACGAGCGCAACCCUUGUCAUUAAUUGCCAUCAUUUAGUUGGGCACUUUAAUGAGACUGCCGG
rnacentral:rRNA from 1 species